GACGACCCAGAUUUAUUUUCAUUUUAAUCGCGAUCGGACGACACAGAUUAAAUCGUGAUGGACGGUUGAGAUUAAAAGGAGAAGGUUAUAAAUAACCUCACCCACACCCAACCCCAAACCCUAGCCGCCAGUACCUUCGCCGGAGAAGAAGACCCAGUCACCGGAGGGGCCGCCGCCACUCGCCGCCGCAUCGGAGGAUUUUUCGACUGCCAAACGAGGUAAAUUUUCUCUCAUUAGCUCGUUUUUCGAUGUUAUAUCCGCCUAUGGCCAAAUCGGAGCCAAACCACUGGCCAAUCGGCUGGAAAACACCGUCGAAGUCCAGUGGCAUCGCCGCAACUUUCCUCGAUUUUUGCCUCCGAUGAGGCCCUUUCCGAUUCCCGUUCGAUGUAAUUUUUACACCACUGUGAUCACCGUCCUUUUCUAUACAGGUUGAUCG
rnacentral:lncRNA from 1 species